rnacentral:rRNA from 1 species
UACAGAGGGUGCGAGCGUUGUCCGGAAUCACUGGGCGUAAAGGGCGCGUAGGCGGCCUGAUAAGUCGGGGGUGAAAUCCUGUGGCUUAACCACAGGGCUGCCUCCGAGACUGUCGGGCUCGAGCACAGUAGAGGCAGGUGGAAUUCCCGGUGUAGCGGUGGAAUGCGUAGAGAUCGGGAAGAACAUCGGUGGCGAAGGCGGCCUGCUGGGCUGUUGCUGACGCUGAGGAGCGAAAGCGUGGGGAGCAAACAGG